rnacentral:lncRNA from 1 species
UGAGGGAAUGCUUGGCAAGCGUAAGGAACUUGAUGACAGAGGUCUGCCAAUCAAAGAACGUAACAAGGAAUCCUCACACUCCCCGAAUAUAAAAACCUCAGAUGCAUCAAAGUUAAUCAGCAAAACUUCGAGCAAUGAGGGAACCCUUGGCAGACACAAUGAGCUUGAUGAUAGUGGUAGCAAGAUGAAAGAAAGUAACAAGAACUCCCUUGAUUUCCGAAGUAACAAAAUCUCGGAACCCUUAAAGCUAAGCAGCCCGGCUUGCAGCAGCGAGGGAACUCUUGGGAAGCGUAAGGAGCUUGAGGUCAACGGACAUUUGCUCGGUGAGUUUUUCCAGUGUAUUGGGAAGUAAAGUCAGUGAACAUGCUAUUACUGUGUUUAUGUCAAACAUGUAGGUGAUUGAGUUGAUCUAUUAAAUGGCUCUUGGACUUCUUUUGAUUAAAGAUGUGAUCUUUAUUAGUAAUUUGUCUGCUUCUUGUGAUUUAUUUGACAAUGACUUUGCUGC